rnacentral:rRNA from 1 species
AGUGAACGCUGGCGGUAGGCCUAACACAUGCAAGUCGAACGGCAGCACAGUAAGAGCUUGCUCUUACGGGUGGCGAGUGGCGGACGGGUGAGGAAUACAUCGGAAUCUACUUUUUCGUGGGGGAUAACGUAGGGAAACUUACGCUAAUACCGCAUACGACCUACGGGUGAAAGCAGGGGAUCUUCGGACCUUGCGCGAUUGAAUGAGCCGAUGUCGGAUUAGCUAGUUGGCGGGGUAAAGGCCCACCAAGGCGACGAUCCGUAGCUGGUCUGAGAGGAUGAGGGGACAGACGGGGACUGAGAGGGGGUCGAGACCCCGGAGGGAGGAAGCAGGGGGGCAUGUUAGGCGAUGUGCGGAAGCAUGAACGAGACAUGGGGGGUGAGGGAGGAAGGGCUUCGGAUCGUAAAGCUCUUUUAGUGGGAAAGAAAAAAUGCGUCACGAAAUAUGCACGGCCUGACGGCACAAAAAAAGAAAGAGACCCCUAAUUCCGUG